CCUACGGGAGGCAGCAGUGGGGAAUUUUGGACAAUGGGCGAAAGCCUGAUCCAAGCAAUGCCGCGUGAGUGAAGAAGGCCUUCGGGUUGUAAAGCUCUUUUGUCAGGGAAGAAACGGUGAGAGCUAAUAUCUCUUGCUAAUGACGGUACCUGAAGAAUAAGCACCGGCUAACUACGUGCCAGCAGCCGCGGUAAUAC
rnacentral:rRNA from 1 species